rnacentral:rRNA from 1 species
GACGAACGCUGGCGGCGUGCUUAACACAUGCAAGUCGAGCGAUGAAGCACCUUCGGGUGUGAAUUAGCGGCGAACGGGUGAGGAACACGUGAGAAAUCUGUCUUCAACACUGGGAUAACUCCGGGAAACCGGGGCUAAUACCGGAUAUGAAACCUGCGGGCAUCCGCGGGUUUGGAAAGUUUUUCGGUUGAAGAUGAUCUCGCGGCCUAUCAGCUUGUUGGUGAGGUAAUGGCUCACCAAGGCGACGACGGGUAGCCGGCCUGAGAGGGCGACCGGCCACACUGGGACUGAGACACGGCCCAGACUCCUACGGGAGGCAGCAGUGGGGAAUAUUGGGCAAUGGAGGAAACUCUGACCCAGCGACGCCGCGUGCGGGAUGAAGGGCCUUCGGGUUGUAAACCGCUUCAGCAGGGAAGAAGCGAAAGUGACGGUAACCUGCAGAAGAAGCACGGCUAACUAUGUG